UACGUAGGUGGCAAGCGUUGUCCGGAUUUAUUGGGUUUAAAGGGUGCGUAGGCGGUUCUCUAAGUCAGUUGUGAAAUACUUCAGCUUAACUGGAGAGGUGCAAUUGAUACUGGAGAACUUGAGUACUGAUGAGGUAGGCGGAAUGGACGGUGUAGCGGUGAAAUGCUUAGAUAUCGUCCAGAACACCGAUAGCGAAGGCAGCUUACUAAGGAGUAACUGACGCUGAGGCACGAAAGUGUGGGGAUCAAACAGG
rnacentral:rRNA from 1 species